CAAAAACAUCGCCUCUUGAACAAAAAUAAGAGGUCCAGCCUGCCCAGUGACAAAUGUUCAACGGCCGCGGUAUCCUAACCGUGCGAAGGUAGCGUAAUCACUUGUUCUUUAAAUGAGGACUAGUAUGAAUGGCACCACGAGGGUUGCACUGUCUCCUUUCCCUAAUCAAUGAAACUAAUCUCCCCGUGAAGAAGCGGGGGUACUAAUAUAAGACGAGAAGACCCUAUGGAGCUUUAAAUUUCUCUUCAAACGCCAGACACAAACAUCUGACACUUUACAUUAACCCGACGCCUUGAAGAUGAAUUUUAGGUUGGGGUGACCAUGGAGAACAAAAUAACCUCCACGCUGAAAAGGCCUCCAAGCCUUGAGCCGAGGGCUACAACCCAACGCACUAAAAAAUUAACACCCAUUGACCCAAUACUUUUGAUCAACGAACCAAGUUACCCUAGGGAUAACAGCGCAAUCUACUUCAAGAGUCCCUAUCGACAAGUGGGUUUACGACCUCGAUGUUGGAUCAGGGUAUCCCAGUGGUGCAGCCGCUACUAAAGGUUCGUUUGUUCAACGAUUAAAACCCU
rnacentral:rRNA from 1 species